CUUUUCUGUACUUGUGUACUUGCGUUCUUGCGAAUCGAGGAUGCAUAGGAGGUGUCUUGUGUGGACUUGGAACAGUUAGAUAUCCCAGGAUGCAUUUCGCAGUAGUACGAUGGCAGACAAUAUCGAGAAGACCCGCAGCUGUGGCAAAACGUUGAUGUGGCAUCCAUCAAUGGCCCCAGCAGCACAUCCAAAGGCCUCGUCACCUGCCAGGCGAGCAAAGCCAGCCCCCACCUCCUCCAUCUCCUCUGCCUUGGGGAGAUGAAUCAUCCUGUGGAGGAUGGCCAUCAUCUCCUCCACCACGCCAUGGACCGUCCUGCAAACUGUGGACAGGGGCAUCCCAAAGGCGUCUGCCGUCACCCUGUACGAUGCUCCACAGGCCAGCCAGUACACCGCCACCAGCACCUCCACCUCAUGGCUCCAUCAAUGGGCUUUUUGCCUGGGGCAGCAAGGCAAGCAACCGGUAGAAGCUCUCCCUGGAGAGCCUGAAGGCUGGCUACAGGUCCCCUCCAGAGAAAAACACAGCUAGUAUUUUAACGUACAAUAAAUUGCAAUUAUGUAUUUAAUAUGUAUUGUCCGCUUUAUAUUUAAACUUUCUACCCUGUGGUAAAAUGACAAAUUCACCCGUUACAGUCAAGUGUAUGUAUCAAUAUUAACUGAUCAAUUGAAAAGUUUAAAACAAGCCGAUAAAACUCGUGAGACAGACAACUGAGGAUGGCUCGUCUCCUUAGUGUCUCCCGCCGUAUCCUAUAGCUCUCUGCUCGACGAUCCGCCUCAGUUGGGCAGCCUCCUUUUCUGCUCGCUGAUAGAGGAAACCCAUCGCAACGGCAAUCCCGGUCAGAUCCAUCCUGUAAUUUGAACAAUGGCAAUAGUCUCCAAAAAUAAUUCCUACAAUAUUUAUCCUGUGUGUGUUUCUAUUCUAAUCUGUGUAAUUUCUCAUAGAACAACAAUAACU
ensembl:lncRNA